rnacentral:rRNA from 1 species
GAUGAACGCUGGCGGCGUGCCUAAUACAUGCAAGUCGAGCGAACAGACGAGGAGCUUGCUCCUCUGACGUUAGCGGCGGACGGGUGAGUAACACGUGGAUAACCUACCUAUAAGACUGGGAUAACUUCGGGAAACCGGAGCUAAUACCGGAUAAUAUAUUGAACCGCAUGGUUCAAUAGUGAAAGACGGUUUUGCUGUCACUUAUAGAUGUAUCCGCGCCGCAUUAGCUAGUUGGUAAGGUAACGGCUUACCAAGGCAACGAUGCGUAGCCGACCUGAGAGGGUGAUCGGCCACACUGGAACUGAGACACGGUCCAGACUCCUACGGGAGGCAGCAGUAGGGAAUCUUGCGCAAUGGGCGAAAGCCUGACGGAGCAACGCCGCGUGAGUGAUGAAGGUCUUCGGAUCGUAAAACUCUGUUAUUAGGGAAGAAAAAAUGUGUAAGUAACUAUGCACGUCUUGACGGUACCUAAUCAGAAAGCCACGGCUAACUACGUG